GGAUCGAUGACCAUUUUGUUAAAUUAACAAAGAUAAUUGUUGCAUGUAACUGCUGUUGUGUCUUCACCAGUUCCAAAUACACGGAGUUGGCUCAAUUGUACGAGAAGUACAAGGACCUGGGUUUUGAGAAUUGAGAUCUUUGAUUUCCCAUGCAACCAGUUUGGUGGGUAGGUACCAGCUGGUACUGAUGAGGAAUAUUUGCGCUCCUGCAGAAGACAGAGGCGAAGAUGUCGUUAUUUGCAGAUGUCAU